UAGAUCAUUAUUAAAGGGAAAAUUCAUAAAUUGUCCAAAUAAACUAUUAAAAUAAAACCGUUAAUUUUAUUAAAAAAAAAAUAGAUAAAGAAGAUAAAAACACAUGGUUAUGAGUUCAUAUUUCAUUUGGGUGCAGAAUAGUAAUAAAAAAAAGGACAAAACUUAGAUGCAAUUCCAUAGGUCCGGUUCUUACUGUUUUCCAAUAGAAUUUUAACACCUGGAUUAUUUCUUUUCACUGAUAAACGCCGUUAGAAAACAAAACAUUUUUCCUCUAAAUUGCAACCACCGAAUGUGAAACACAUCUCCAAUGCUAAGACCCAUCAUCAUCUCCAAUUCCAUAUGUGACCAACGAAGACAAUUGAUUUUCAGUGACUGUGUGGCCACCACGUAGCAAGGUAUCACGCUUCUCUCCCUUCUUGAGUCCAUCAUCGUCUGCAACAUUCAACAAAACCUCAACUUGUUAUUCAAAACAAAAACUCUCAACUCCAUUGACACCAUGAAUCUGAUUGUUAUAUAUUAUAGAUCAAUAACAUUGUGGUCCCAAUCGAUUAAACCCAAAAUACCAUUUAAACUCAGCCCUUAAAAAUCAAUUGAACCUAGAGAACUUGUUGAAACCCUAAAACCAUCUUUCCCAAUUGAACCUAGACUACUGUAUUUGAAGUUCGAUUCCUUAAAAUUCGCAUUCUUUUUCAUCGUGUUCCGCCAUCGUUAAUUGCAGUUGAACAUCCAUCUUGUCGUAAAAGGAAAUUCAUGCAAUACUUGGGGAGCAAAUAUCAGCAGAAGAUGAAGAGGAAGUUUUGGCAGAGUUUGAGAACUUGGAAACCCAGAUAAGAUGAGCAAUAUUUUGGCAGAUUAGAUAAUCACGGAUUUGGGAUGUUUAUUAGCAGUCUGAGGUGCAGCCGCAUCAGCAGUAGCACCUGAAUACCGUAAAAAGAAGUGGCUGAUCACAGAAAGGGCAAAAACACAAUGGAUGAAGUACAAAUCUAUGUUUGAAGCUGCUAGGUCGAAGACAGCUAACUCUCUUCCAGACGGCAAUUCUUCUGCAUGUCAAAGUACUGAAAUGCAAGGUAUUUAAGAGCAAACUUCCCAUUCUUUGUGCUUUCAAACCCAUGUCUGUCGUCAAAUAGUUUUGUCAUUAUCUUUAUAUAAUAAGUAAAACAGUCAAAAUGUUUCCAAAAAAAAAAUUAAAACAGUCAAAAUAAUCAAGGAAACUGCUCAAAUUAGUCAAAUCUGAUGGAAACUAUUUUGAGGUUUUGAAUGAAAUGAGAAGUCUGAAAAAAGACAAUAAUUUUUUGGAAACAUAUUGUUAAAAUAUAACGUUAUUUACACUUGUUUUAAAUAUAUGUUUAGUCCUGAAAAAUAUAGCGAUA